GAUGAACGCUGGCGGCGUGCUUAACACAUGCAAGUCGAACGGAAAGGCCCUGCUUUUGUGGGGUGCUCGAGUGGCGAACGGGUGAGUAACACGUGAGUAACCUGCCCUUGACUUUGGGAUAACUUCAGGAAACUGGGGCUAAUACCGGAUAGGAGCUCCUGCUGCAGGGUGGGGGUUGGAAAGUUUCGGCUGUUGGGGAUGGACUCGCGGCUGAUGAGCUUGUUGGUGGGGUAGUGGCUUACCAAGGCUUUGACGGGUAGCCGGCCUGAGAGGGUGACCGGCCACAUUGGGACUGAGAUACGGCCCAGACUCCUACGGGAGGCAGCAGUGGGGAAUAUUGCACAAUGGGCGGAAGCCUGAUGCAGCAACGCCGCGUGCGGGAUGACGGCCUUCGGGUUGUAAACCGCUUUCGCCUGUGACGAAGCGUGAGUGACGGUAAUGGGUAAAGAAGCACCGGCUAACUACGUG
rnacentral:rRNA from 1 species